rnacentral:pre_miRNA from 1 species
CUUGAUACUGCUGGGUAAUAUGGUAAAUCUAACUUUUUAAGGAACUGCCAAAUUGUUUUCCAAAGUAACUGAACCAUUUCACAUUCCCAUCAGCAAU